GGAGGGACAGCUCAGUGGUAGAGCACGUGCCUAGCAUGCACAAGGUCCUGGGUUCCAUCCCUGGUACCUCUG
rnacentral:tRNA from 1 species